rnacentral:pre_miRNA from 1 species
AAUAAGUGUAGUUUUGCACUAUUCAUGUUCAACGUUUGACCGUUCGUCUUAUUUGAAAAUUUUUUAUGAUUAGUAUUUUUAUUGCUAUUAGAUGAUAAAACAUGAAUAGUACUUUAUGUGUGACUAAAUGUUUUUAAUUUUUUCACAAAUUUUUCAAAUAAGACGGAUGGUCAAACGUUGAACGUGAAUAGUGCAAAACUGCACUUAUU